AGGGGCAGCAUCAUCAAAGCUUGCUUUGAUGGAUGGCGACCGGCGCACGGGUGAGUAACACGUAUCCAACCUGCCGACAACACUGGGAUAGCCUUUCGAAAGAAAGAUUAAUACCGGAUGGCAUAGUUUUCCCGCAUGGGAUAAUUAUUAAAGAAUUUCGGUUGUCGAUGGGGAUGCGUUCCAUUAGGCAGUUGGCGGGGUAACGGCCCACCAAACCAACGAUGGAUAGGGGUUCUGAGAGGAAGGUCCCCCACAUUGGAACUGAGACACGGUCCAAACUCCUACGGGAGGCAGCAGUGAGGAAUAUUGGUCAAUGGACGAGAGUCUGAACCAGCCAAGUAGCGUGAAGGAUGACUGCCCUAUGGGUUGUAAACUUCUUUUAUACGGGAAUAAAGUGAGCCACGUGUGGCUUUUUGUAUGUACCGUAUGAAUAAGGAUCGGCUAACUCCGUGCCAGCAGCCGCGGUAAUACGGAGGAUCCGAGCGUUAUCCGGAUUUAUUGGGUUUAAAGGGAGCGUAGGCGGGUUGUUAAGUCAGUUGUGAAAGUUUGCGGCUCAACCGUAAAAUUGCAGUUGAUACUGGCGACCUUGAGUGCAACAGAGGUAGGCGGAAUUCGUGGUGUAGCGGUGAAAUGCUUAGAUAUCACGAAGAACUCCGAUUGCGAAGGCAGCUUACUGGAUUGUAACUGACGCUGAUGCUCGAAAGUGUGGGUAUCAAACAGGAUUAGAUACCCUGGUAGUCCACACAGUAAACGAUGAAUACUCGCUGUUGGCGAUAUACGGUCAGCGGCCAAGCGAAAGCAUUAAGUAUUCCACCUGGGGAGUACGCCGGCAACGGUGAAACUCAAAGGAAUUGACGGGGGCCCGCACAAGCGGAGGAACAUGUGGUUUAAUUCGAUGAUACGCGAGGAACCUUACCCGGGCUUAAAUUGCAACUGACGGAAUCGGAAACGGUUC
rnacentral:rRNA from 1 species